GACGAACGCUGGCGGCGUGCUUAACAUAUGCAAGUCGAACGGAAAGGCCUCUUUCGGGGGGUACUCGAGUGGCGAACGGGUGAGUAACACGUGAGUAACCUGCCCUUGACUUUGGGAUAACUUCAGGAAACUGGGGCUAAUACCGGAUAGGAGCUCCUGCUGCAUGGUGGGGGUUGGAAAGUUUCGGCGGUUGGGGAUGGACUCGCGGCUUAUCAGCUUGUUGGUGGGGUAGUGGCUUACCAAGGCUUUGACGGGUAGCCGGCCUGAGAGGGUGACCGGCCACAUUGGGACUGAGGUACGGCCCAGACUCCUACGGGAGGCAGCAGUGGGGAAGAUUGCACAAUGGGUGGAAGCCUGAUGCAGCAACGCCGUGUGCGGGAUGACGGCCUUCGGGUUGUAAACCGCUUUCGCUCAUGACGAAGCUUUGUGUGACGGUAGUGGGUAAAGAAGCACCGGCUAACUACGUG
rnacentral:rRNA from 1 species